rnacentral:rRNA from 1 species
CACGGGGGUUGCGAGCGUUGUCCGGAAUUACUAGGCGUAAAGGGCAGGCAGGCGGAUCCAUAAGUUUAUCGUUUAAGGCGUCGGCUUAACCGGCGUAGGGCGGUAGAUACUGUGGAUCUGGAAUGCGGUUGGGGAAGACAGAAUUCCUGGUGUAGCGGUGGAAUGCGCAGAGAUCAGGAGGAAUACCGAAGGCGAAGGCAGUCUUCCAAGCCGUUAUUGACGCUCAACUGCGAAGGUGUGGGUAUCAAACAGGAUUAGAUACCCCGGUAGUUCCUGAGCGGG